AACGAACGCUGGCGGCGCGCCUAACACAUGCAAGUCGAACGCGAAAGAGGGGCAACUCUUGAGUAAAGUGGCGCACGGGUGAGUAACGCGUAGGCGAUCUACCUUUGCGAUCGGGAUAACCAGCCGAAAGGUUGGCUAAUACCGGAUAGAGCGCAGGGAGCAUAAAGCUUCAUGCGGGAAAUGAGGGCGUAGCAAUACGCUCUUGCGCUGAGAUGAGCCUGCGUCUCAUUAGCUAGUUGGUGAGGUAAUGGCUCACCAAGGCUUUGAUGGGUAGCUGGUCUGAGAGGACGAUCAGCCACACUGGAACUGAAACACGGUCCAGACUCCUACGGGAGGCAGCAGUGGGGAAUUUUGCGCAAUGGGGAAACCCUGACGCAGCAACGCCGCGUGGAGGAUGAAAUCCCUUGGGAUGUAAACUCCUUUCGAUGGGAAGAUUAUGACGGUACCCAUAGAAGAAGCCCCGGCUAACUUCGUGCCAGCAGCCGCU
rnacentral:rRNA from 1 species